rnacentral:misc_RNA from 1 species
GCAAACUUGGUCAUUUAGAGGAAGUAAAAGUCGUAACAAGGUUUCCGUAGGUGAACCUGCGGAAGGAUCAUUAUUGAAUUUAAAACCGAGUGAGGUUGUAGCUGGCCUUUUACCAGGCAUGUGCACACCUCAUUUGUGUCCAACCUUCACACCUCUGUGCACUUCUCAUGGGUAGAAUUUGCGUCUGAAAUAUUGGCGUAGGCUCUGCCUGUGUGUAAAACCAUAAACCAAUGUCUGUAUUAGAAUGUUACUAUUGUGCAUGAAUGCAUAUAAAUACAACUUUCAGCAACGGAUCUCUUGGCUCUCGCAUCGAUGAAGAACGCAGC